CAGUCGCCACGGUAAAACGAAGGGUGCAAGCGUUACUCGGAAUUACUGGGCGUAAAGCGUGCGUAGGUGGUGAUUUAAGUCCGUUGUGAAAGCCCUGGGCUCAACCUGGGAAUGGCAGUGGAUACUGGCUCGCUAGAGUGUGUCAGAGGAUGGUGGAACUCCCGGUGUAGCGGUGAAAUGCGUAGAGAUCGGGAGGAACAUCAGUGGCGAAGGCGGCCAUCUGGGACAACACUGACGCUGAGGCACGAAAGCGUGGGGAGCAAACAGGAUUAGAUACCCCCGUAGUCCCUGUCUCUUAUAA
rnacentral:rRNA from 1 species